UACGGAGGGUGCGAGCGUUAAUCGGAAUUAUUGGGCGUAAAGAGCGCGCAGGUGGUUGAUUAAGUCUGAUGUGAAAGCCCACGGCUUAACCGUGGAGGGUCAUUGGAAACUGGUCGACUUGAGUGCAGAAGAGGGAAGUGGAAUUCCAUGUGUAGCGGUGAAAUGCGUAGAGAUAUGGAGGAACACCAGUGGCGAAGGCGGCUUCCUGGUCUGUAACUGACACUGAGGCGCGAAAGCGUGGGGAGCAAACAGGAUUAGAUACCCCCGUA
rnacentral:rRNA from 1 species